rnacentral:rRNA from 1 species
AGGGGCAGCAGGAGCGUAGCAAUACACUUGGCUGGCGACCGGCAAACGGGUGCGGAACACGUACGCAAUCUACCCAUAACUGAGGAAUAGCCCUCCGAAAGGAGGAUUAAUACUUCGUAACCUUAUAGAGUGGCAUCACUUUAUGAGUAUAGCUCCGGCGGUUAUGGAUGAGCGUGCGGCUGAUUAGGUAGUUGGCGGGGUAACGGCCCACCAAGCCUGCGAUCAGUAACUGGUGUGAGAGCACGACCAGUCACACGGGCACUGAGACACGGGCCCGACUCCUACGGGAGGCAGCAGUAAGGAAUAUUGGUCAAUGGACGCAAGUCUGAACCAGCCAUGCCGCGUGAAGGAUGAAGGUCCUCUGGAUUGUAAACUUCUUUUAUAGGGGACGAAACCCUCGCAUUCUUGCGGGAUUGACGGUACCCUAGGAAUAAGCACCGGCUAACUCCGUGCCAGCAGCCGCGGUAAUACGGAGGGUGCAAGCGUUA